UGUGCUGGAGGAGAAUGGAGCAUGUGGAGUGAAUCGGUGGCAGUGGGCAUGUCACAGUUCACUCUGGGAACCUUAUCAACACUGCUGGUGGAGUACAUUUGGGCAGCAGCGGGAUGGAUUGCAAGAUUGGAUUCCAGCUGAGUAUCACCCUUUUAGUGGUAGUAUUGGUGGGCCGUUGUGAGGCGUUGUGGUUUUCCUGGGGCAGUACAGAUGGCACCACUGAGGCCCCAUCGCUUGACAAUGAGGGAUCUGGGAACCCAGUGACUAGCAAUGAAUCACCAACGGCGGAGAACAUUGAAGAAGUGGGGGCAGAUAUCAUUGACAUAGAAAGCGGGAUACAUAAGUUUGCGCAAACUUGGAACCAGAAUGCAAAGGCCACGGAGGCCCCCAAGCUGACCACUGUGAGGUCAAAAGCCAGAAAUGAGCGCCCAAUGGAAAAGGGUGCCAGCCGGCCCACGUCAAGGGGAAGCAAACCUGAUGAGAUCGGUGUCUCCCUCCUGCAACUGAUCGGGGACCCUCCCCCAGACGAGAUCACCAAGAUCUAUGGUCCCGACAACAGCCCCGGCUACGUCUUCGGUCCCGACGCCAACACGGGCCAGUUGGCACGUGCCCAUCUUCCCAGCCCCUUCUACCGGGACUUCUCCCUCCUCUUCAACCUGAAGCCCCAGUCCACCAAGGGCGGAGUCAUCUUUUCGGUCACAGACGCCUCGCAGAAGAUCAUGUAUGUGAGCGUCAAGCUGUCGCCGGUCAAAGCGAACAAGCAGAAUGUCAUCUUCUACUACACGGAGCCCGACUCGCAGGUGUCGUACGUGGCGGCCACCUUCCCCGUGCACAACCUGGCCGACCAGUGGAAUCGCUUCUCCAUCUCCGUGCUGGACGACAAGGUCACCUUCUACAUCAACUGCGACGACCAACCCCAGGUGGUACGCUUCGAGAGGUCCCCGGAUGAGAUGGAGCUGGAGGCCGGAGCCGGGGUGUUCGUGGGCCAAGCCGGAGGGGCCGAUCCCGAUAAGUUCCUGGGGGUGAUUGGGGAGCUGAGGGUUGUUGGAAACCCCCGGGCUGCUGAAAGACAGUGUGAGGAGGAAGGGGACGACUCGGAUGUGGCUUCAGGAGAUGGCGGAAGCGGCGAUGUGGAAGGGAAACUGGACGGGAAGAGGAAAGGCUCGACUACCCCUCCGUCGUCACGCCCGAUUCAGCAGCCCCCAGUGACCCGGCAACAACCAGAGGUGUCUCCCAAGAAAGAGACUGGCACAGGUGGAUCUAGAGGAGAGAAGGGUGACAGAGGAGAGAAAGGAGUCAGGGGUCCUUUCGGUCCAAAGGGAGAUUCUGGGUCUGAGUCGGGCACACGAGGAGGGGCACGUGGAGAGAAGGGAGUGCCUGGAGAAAAGGGAAUGAAGGGAAAAGCAGGCUUCGGAUACCCUGGGUCGAAGGGCGACCCCGGCCCCGCUGGUCCCCCCGGACCACCAGGCUCCCCGGGGCCCGCGGCUGAGGUGGUAUCACGUGGCGACAGCUCCGUGAUUCAGACGGUUGCGGGUCCCAGAGGACCAGCUGGAACUCCGGGACCUGCAGGCCCUGAGGGGCCCGCAGGAGCCGACGGAGAGCCUGGUGAUCCUGGUGAAGAUGGUUCUCAAGGCCUUGUUGGACCGCCAGGCUUCCCUGGAACCCCAGGAGACUCUGGGCUCAAAGGAGAGAAGGGUGACCGUGGUGAGGGCCAGCCGGGCCCCAGUGGACCUCCCGGACCCCCAGGACUCCCAGCGCCAUCCAGUCACGACCGGCCCACCUUUGUGGACAUGGAAGGCUCUGGGUUCCCUGACUUGGAGGCUCUUCGGGGACUGCCUGGUUUGCCUGGCCCUCCUGGACUCCCCGGGGCCCCAGGUCCUGCCGUUGUUGGUACAGGGCUCUCGAGCUCGUUUGGCCCCCAAGGUCCCCCAGGACAAGAUGGUGCCCCUGGUCAACCGGGGUUACCCGGCCCACCUGGUACAGAUGGUCGCCCAGCAGUUGCAGGGGCCAGGGGAGAGAAGGGUGACCCAGGUGAACUCGGUCUUCCGGGAGCAGUCGGCGUAAAGGGCGCACAGGGAUUGACUGGUAUCCCUGGUCAGCCUGGACUGGGCGGAUUGGCUGGCCUUCCUGGACCAAUGGGACCAGUGGGACAACCCGGGCCACCAGGACCCCCCGGACCAAGCUAUCACGCUGGCUUUGAUGACAUGGAAGGCUCUGGUGUGGGAGUGGCCAAUGGGGUUCCUGGAACCCGAGGGCCAGACGGACGACAGGGUACUACUGGCAUCCCUGGCCUACCGGGAAAGCCUGGUUUCCCUGGUCCUCCUGGCGAGAUGGGAAAUGAAGGACUACAAGGAAGAGAUGGCCGACCAGGGUUGGACGGUUUCCCUGGACCUAAUGGACAAAAGGGGGACAGAGGAGAAAGAGGCGAAACUGGUCGCGAUGGAAAUGGACAGCCUGGACCACCAGGCCCACCCGGCCCACCAGGACAAAUAAUCUACCAGACCUCCAGCAGCUAUGAUGGUGUCGUUGGAGGAGCUGGGCCCCAGGGUGAAACUGGUCUACCUGGCCAAGCUGGAUUCCCUGGUCCUAUUGGAUCAAAGGGCGACAAGGGAGACCCAGGACAGCCCGGUUAUGGAAUCAAGGGCGAGAAGGGCGAGCCUGGCUUAAUCAUUGGGCCUGAUGGGAGUCCUUUGUACCUGCGAGAAUUGUCGGGUGAGAAGGGAGACAGAGGACCUGCCGGACCCGUCGGGCCUCCUGGGCAGUAUGGACCUUCUGGGAUAAAGGGUGAAUUUGGAAUGCCUGGAAGACCUGGUCGUCCUGGUGUAAACGGAUACAAGGGUGAAAAAGGAGAGCCAUCCACAGGUGCCGGAUUUGGCUACCCAGGUGUCCCAGGCCCACCCGGACCCCCAGGACCACCCGGACCAGCUGUGCCUGUGGACCGCUUCAACGGAUAUGACGCCUCAAGGAAUUAUCCAGCGACAAAGGGGGAGAAAGGUGAUCACGGAGCUCAAGGUCUCCCAGGAACGCCAGGUGUGGCCUCUAACUUAGACAUAUUCGCAUUCAAGAAUGACCUGAAAGGAGAGCGCGGGGAUUCUGGCGUGAAGGGGGAGAAGGGAGAGCCAAGUGGUGGCUAUGAUGACCCCCAUUUUAGAGGACAACAAGGCCCACCAGGACCCCCUGGAAACCCAGGACUUAUGGGUCCAAAGGGAGAUUCAAUCAUGGGCCUCCCUGGUCCCCAGGGCCCACCAGGCUCCCCAGGGAACGGCUACGAUGGUCGUCCAGGAAUCCCAGGCCCACCAGGUCCUCCCGGGCCCCCAGGGUCCCCCUCACAACCAGGGGCCUAUAGACCUAACCACUCCAUCAAUAUUCCUGGCCCCCCCGGACCUGCUGGACCACCUGGAACUCCUGGUCACACGUCAGGGGUGACAGUUUUGAGGUCAUACGACACGAUGAUUGCUACUGCAAGACGCCAGUCGGAGGGCACCCUCAUCUACAUUGUCGACAAAACAGAUCUCUACAUUCGAGUCCGCAAUGGAUUUAAACAAGUCCUGCUCGGUGACUACAGUCCCUUCUACAGAGAUCUGGACAAUGAAGUAGCGGCUGUCCAGCCCCCCCCCGUCGUCAACUAUCCCCAGUCCCAGGAUCACUCAGCCAACAAUGGAGCUGAACACUUCUCCCAAGGCGGUACCGCCACCCACCCCAUCAAGCCUCCUCCUCACAAGCCGGUGGAGAUCCCCAGGCCUGCCAGACCCGACAACCGCAACCUCGACCCCAGAUAUCCCCCUCAGUAUGACCCCAGAUACCCCUCUCAGACUGACGCUAGGUACCCCCCUCAGACAGAUGGCCGCUACAGCCAUGUGCAGCCUGAGAACAGGUAUCCCAACCAGCCCGAAAGCCGAUUCCCAGUCACCCCCCCAGAGAAGACCCGUUCCCCUUCCUGUUCCCCAGCCUGGCGGUCACUUGCAUACAUCAGGGCCAGGACUCCACCUGAUCGCCCUAAACAUGCCCCAAGUGGGCAACAUGCGGGGCAUUCGUGGGUCAGACUUCCUGUGUUUCCAGCAGGCUCGUGCUGUGGGCCUGAAGGGCACCUUCAGGGCUUUCUUGUCCUCCAAGCUCCAGGACCUCUACAGCAUUGUUCGCAAGUCCGACAGAGACAGCAUUCCCAUCAUAAACCUGAAGGACCAAGUGCUGUUUAAUAGCUGGGAGUCUAUGUUCAGUAAGACUGGGGUCAGGAUGAAGGAAAAUGCACCAAUCUACUCCUUUGAUGGCAGAGAUAUCCUUAGGGACAGUGCAUGGCCUGAAAAAAUGGUCUGGCACGGCUCUAGCAACGAGGGUCACCGCCAGACUGACAACUACUGCGAGACAUGGAGGGCCGGAGACCGUGAGGUGACAGGCCUAGCGUCCUCACUGCAGACCGGCCAGCUCCUACAACAAUUGCCCAGCAGUUGCUCUAGCUCCUACAUAGUGCUGUGUAUCGAGAACAGCUCUCUCUCACACUCCAAAAAAUAAUUUACAAAAACAUCCCUGUCACUUUGGUCCAAGUAAACGCAUUACAAGUGUCCAAACAGGCCCAUUCCUCCUCCCUCCGCCCCUAGAAAUAUGACGUCUUUCGAACUGGGUCUGCAGCACUUGCCUGGCAGAGAAGUUUCCCAUUGUCUUCUCUAUCCCCUCCAUAAUGCCAAAGAGACGGGUCGAACAGAGAGGUGUUUGCCUUUUUCUCGGGGCAUUGGCACAUAUUUUCCAAGGGGUGGAACAAGAGAAGAGAAGCUAACUGCGGCAGCAUUUUUAAAAUUGUGUGCGUAAAAAAAUCUGUUUGUAUAUGAUAUGUCUGUUUGAGUUUUAUUUUAUUCCUGAUUUGAUGUUACUUUUGAAGUGGUCUUUAAAUUUGGUAUAUUCAACCAUUUUAAUGUACCAUUUUCCACAUUUUCAUUUUAUUUUCAUUCCAUUUAAGGCUUGUAGGGUACAGCAACAUUUUUAAAUGAUAUUUUAAGAAUUAAAGAAGAUAAUAGAUAUUUAUUUUUAAAUGAAGUUAUGUUAGAACACACAAUUUGAUUUGGAAUAGUAACACAUGAAAAAUGCCUUAAUCCAUAUUGUAGUCAGCACUUUUUCACAGACUAUUUCCUACAUUUACACAGGUGAGGGUGUUUCUAACCUAAUAUGGAAAACUGUACGUUGCGAAAAGGAGUGUGUGGUUUUAGAAAUGCAUGUCAAAAGAGAUUAUGCUUUGAUGUCAAGAUACUUUUAAAAAUAAGUAAAUAAAACUAAGGUAAGAUGUGAUGACUCUUAGAAUAUAUAUGACUAAUUCCUACAUCUGUAGAAGUUUACUGUAAAUGUCUCCUUGCCAUUUUACAUUUGGUGAACAUUGUUUUAUAUGUCCUCAUUGGGCAUAGCCUACACUAAAUUCACCAUACUCAUAUCCAAGACGCAAGUUACAAUGUCUUUGGUAACCGUAAAGCAGAUGCUGAGACAAAUUUGAUGUAAGGGUCAAUUUUGCUUUUAAUCAAAAAAUAUAUAAUCCUGUUGAUAAUAACCUGCCAUUGGGGUUUGAAAAUGUUUUGAGUUCAAUUUGGUGCUAAUCUCUAUUGGAGUGACUGCUGACUGUAUUGGUUGAGGAAACCCAGAGCAGCCUUGUGUUAAUUAACUUCUGAGACUAUCUUGGCUAUAGUGCUACUGUUGUGUCUUGACUGAACCAGUAUGAACCUGUGGAUAUUCAUUAUUUUUGUAACCAGUAUGUGCUGUAUCAUUUCUCAGAGGCACUAAAUAAAUGUUAUUGUUUUUUAAUUCA